CUAGGCCUACGGGGCGCAGCAGUGAGGAAUAUUGGUCAAUGGCCGAGAGGCUGAACCAGCCAAGUCGCGUGAGGGAAGACGGCCCUACGGGUUGUAAACCUCUUUUGUCGGGGAGCAAAGCGAACCACGUGUGGUUCAUUGAGAGUACCCGAAGAAAAAGCAUCGGCUAACUCCGUGCCAGCAGCCGCGGUAAUACGGAGGAUGCGAGCGUUAUCCGGAUUUAUUGGGUUUAAAGGGUGCGCAGGCGGAGGUGCAAGUCAGCGGUAAAAUUUCGGGGCUCAACCCCGUCGUGCCGUUGAAACUGG
rnacentral:rRNA from 1 species